AGCAGCCGCGGUAAUUCCAGCUCCAAUAGCGUAUAUUAAAGUUGUUGCAGUUAAAAAGCUCGUAGUUGAAUUUCAGGCCUGGCUGGACGGUCCGCCCUUCGGGUGAGUACUGUCUGUGGUCGGGUCCUACCUUCUGGCGAAGCGUCAUGGCCUUAACCGGCCGUGGCGGGGAACCAGGACUUUUACUGUGAAAAAAUUAGAGUGUUCAAAGCAGGCAAUCGCUUGGAUACAUUAGCAUGGAAUAAUGGAAUAGGACAAUGGUUCUAUUUGUUGGUUUCUAGGACCGUUGUAAUGAUUAAUAGGGAUAGUUGGGGGCAUUAGUAUUCAAUUGUCAGAGGUGAAAUUCUUGGAUUUAUUGAAGACUACCUACUGCGAAAGCAUUUGCCAAGGAUGUUUUCAUUAAUCAAGAACGAAAGUUAGGGGAUCGAAGACGAUCAGAUACCGUCGUAGUCUUAACCAUAAACUAUGCCGACUAGGAAUUGGGCGAUGUUGACAAAAUGACCGCUCGGCACCUCAUA
rnacentral:rRNA from 1 species